AAGGCAUGAAGAGGACACAUCCUUAACAAUUCUUUGAUCAUUUCUCAUGCUUCAUAAAUAAACUCCCCAUUUAAUUGAGUAAAGAAUCUGAUAUCAUUUCUAAGCUU